rnacentral:rRNA from 1 species
CCUACGGGAGGCAGCAGUAGGGAAUCUUCCACAAUGGGCGAAACCCUGAUGGAGCGACGCCGCGUGGGUGAAGAAGUUAUUCGUUACGUAAAACCCUAUUAUUAGGGAAGAAAAUGACUGUAACUGACUAAUCAGCUUCCGCUAACUACUUGCCAGCAGCCGCGGUAAUACGUAGGGGGCAAGCGUUCUCCGGAUUUACUGUGUGUAAAGGGAACGUAGGCGGUUGUGCAAGACUGGAGUGAAAGGCGGCGGCUCAACCUCCGGACUGCACGGGAAACUGUGCGGCUGGAGUGCAGAAGAGGUGAGUGGAAUUCCAAGUGUAGCGGUGAAAUGCGUAGAUAUAAGGAGGAACACCAGUGGCGAAGGCGGCUUACUGGACUGUAACUGACGUUGAGGUUCGAAAGCGUGGGGAGCAAACAGGAUUAGAUACCCCGGUAGUC